CGAACGCUGGCGGCGUGCUUAACACAUGCAAGUCGAACGGAAAGGCCUGCUUUCCCUUGUGGAUUGCGGGUACUCGAGUGGCGAACGGGUGAGUAACACGUGAGUGAUCUGCCCCCAACUUGGGUAUAAGCCUGGGAAACUGGGUCUAAUUCCCGAUAGGACUGCAGGGUGGUGCCUGUGGUGGAAAACGAUUUUCUAGUGGUUGGGGAUGAGCUCGCGGCCUAUCAGCUUGUUGGUGGGGUAAUGGCCUACCAAGGCGGCGACGGGUAGCCGGCCUGAGAGGGUGGACGGCCACAUUGGGACUGAGAUACGGCCCAGACUCCUACGGGAGGCAGCAGUGGGGAAUAUUGCACAAUGGGCGGAAGCCUGAUGCAGCGACGCCGCGUGGGGGAUGACGGCCCUCGGGUUGUAAACUCCUUUCGACCGCGAGGAAGCCACCUGGUUGGAAGGGUGGUGACGGUAGUGGUAGAAGAAGCACCGGCUAACUACGUG
rnacentral:rRNA from 1 species